UUGGAGGGCAAGUCUGGUGCCAGCAGCCGCGGUAAUUCCAGCUCCAAUAGCGUAUAUUAAAGUUGUUGCAGUUAAAAAGCUCGUAGUUGAACCUUGGGCCUGGCUGGCCGGUCCGCCUCACCGCGUGCACUGGUCCGGCCGGGUCUUUCCUCCUGGGGAGCCACAUGCCCUUCACUGGGUGUGUUGGGGAACCAGGACUUUUACUUUGAAAAAAUUAGAGUGUUCAAAGCAGGCCUAUGCUCGAGUACAUUAGCAUGGAAUAAUAGAAUAGGACGUGUGGUUCUAUUUUGUUGGUUUCUGGGACCGCCGUAAUGAUUAAUAGGGAUAGUCGGGGGCAUCAGUAUUCAAUUGUCAGAGGUGAAAUUCUUGGAUUUAUUGAAGACUAACUACUGCGAAAGCAUUUGCCAAGGAUGUUUUCAUUAAUCAGUGAACGAAAGUUAGGGGAUCGAAGACGAUCAGAUACCGUCGUAGUCUUAACCAUAAACUAUGCCGACUAGGGAUCGGGCGAUGUUAUUUUUUCGACUCGUUCGGCGCCUUACGGGAAAC
rnacentral:rRNA from 1 species